CCCCUCUCAGGGUCAUACCUGGGGAGUUUCCAGUACUCUACCAGUCCCGACUGCGGGAGGAAGAGUCAAGCAGAGACCCACCCAUUCCAUUCUUAGCUUGGGCAAUGGCUAGCAAGUGGAAGGCAAUCUGCUACAAGU